GACGCAGUAGGAUAGGCGAAGCGUGCUGUUGGAGUGCACGUCCAAGCAGUGAGAUUGAGUGUUAGGCAAAUCCGGCACUCUUAAGAUUGAGCUGUGAUGGGGAGAGGAACUUGUUCCUCGAGUCGUUGAUUUCACACUGCCGAGAAAAGCCUCUAGCUAGAAUAACGGUGCCCGUACCGCAAACCGACACAGGUAGUCAAGAUGAGAAUUCUAAGGUGAGCGAGCGAACUCUCGUUAAGGAACUCGGCAAAAUGACCCCGUAACUUCGGGAGAAGGGGUGCUCUUUGAGGUUCACGCUUCGAAGAGCCGCAGUGAAUAGGCCCAAGCGACUGUUUAUCAAAAACACAGGUCUCUGCUAAACCGUAAGGUGACGUAUAGGGGCUGACGCCUGCCCGGUGCUGGAAGGUUAAGAGGAGUGGUUAGCGCAAGCGAAGCUACGAAUCGAAGCCCCAGUAAACGGCGGCCGUAACUAUAACGGUCCUAAGGUAGCGAAAUUCCUUGUCGGGUAAGUUCCGACCCGCACGAAAGGCGUAACGAUUUGGGCACUGUCUCAACGAGAGACUCGGUGAAAUCAUAGUACCGGUGAAGAUGCCGGUUACCCGCGACAGGACGGAAAGACCCCGUGGAGCUUUACUGUAGCCUGAUAUUGAAAUUCGGUACAGUUUGUACAGGAUAGGUAGGAGCCUUAGAAGCGUGAGCGCUAGCUUACGUGGAGGCAUUGGUGGGAUACUACCCUAAUUGUAUUGGAUUUCUAACCCGCAGCACUUAUCGUGCUGGGAGACAGUGUCAGGCGGGCAGUUUGACUGGGGCGGUCGCCUCCUAAAGAGUAACGGAGGCGCUCAAAGGUUCCCUCAGAAUGGUUGGAAAUCAUUCAUAGAGUGUAAAGGCAUAAGGGAGCUUGACUGCGAGACCUACAAGUCGAGCAGGGUCGAAAGACGGACUUAGUGAUCCGGUGGUUCCGCAUGGAAGGGCCAUCGCUCAACGGAUAAAAGCUACCCCGGGGAUAACAGGCUUAUCUCCCCCAAGAGUUCACAUCGACGGGGAGGUUUGGCACCUCGAUGUCGGCUCAUCGCAUCCUGGGGCUGUAGUCGGUCCCAAGGGUUGGGCUGUUCGCCCAUUAAAGCGGUACGCGAGCUGGGUUCAGAACGUCGUGAGACAGUUCGGUCCCUAUCCGUCGUGGGCGUAGGAAAUUUGAGAGGAGCUGUCCUUAGUACGAGAGGACCGGGAUGGACAUACCUCUGGUGUACCAGUUGUCGUGCCAACGGCAUAGCUGGGUAGCUAUGUAUGGACGGGAUAAGUGCUGAAAGCAUCUAAGCAUGAAGCCCCCCUCGAGAUGAGAUUUCCCAACUUCGGUUAUAAGAUCCCUCAAAGAUGAUGAGGUGAAUAGGUUCGAGGUGGAAGCGUAGCGAUACGUGGAGCUGACGAAUACUAAUCGAUCGAAGACUUAAUCAA
rnacentral:rRNA from 1 species